AUGGCGAAGAUCCAAAUGGUAAAUACUGGUGUGAUAUUUGUGAGGGUGAAACAAAUCCGAAAGACUGGUUCUACACUUGCUCUCACUCUGGGGUCACAUUGCAUGUCCAGUGUGUUCUUGGAGAUUUCUCUUUUCUCAUGCCAAGACGCAUGAUAAAAUACCGUCGGUACUGCAAAUUUGAAGUGGUUCCUAACGACCACUGUUCUCGACCGUUCUGUGCAUGUUGUCAAUCUCGAUGUAUAGGCCCUUUCUUUCUGAAGAUUUCUAAUCCUGAAAUCAUAUACUUCUGUUCUGAAGGGUGUUUUAAAGAAAAGAUCAUUAUCCCAUUUAUAGAGAAUUUAUCUAAAGUUGUUUGAGACCGGUUUUAGCGGUGGCAAGAAGACCCUUCACGUGUGAGAGAGCAACAUCCACGUUAUGAACACUACGCCUUCUAUUUCUAUGUUAUGGUAUUCUCAUUUUUUUUUUCUUUAACAGGAGGUUCAAAGGUGACCCGUAAUCCGCACGUGGUUUCCGUUUGCCCAAAAAUCCGUAAUCCGCACGUGUUUUCCGAUUGCCAACCAUCUAAUCCCCCUGGCCCGGAACCAGCCGGCACUAAUACCCAUUACCCAAGGACCCGGUACGGCUGUACCAACGCCGCGAUAACUUUAAACUUAGGGAGGGCGUAAAGUAUUCCGUGGCCACAGAGGGUAUUCAAACCCGGGUCCGUAUUGGUGUGUUAACUACCUCAAGACCACUAGCCCACCAACCCAUGGUGGUUUGGUAUUCUCAUUUUAAUCUCAUAUUAUUUGCAAAUAAUUAAGUGGUGAUCUGCUUCCUUUUCCUGUUCCUGAUUUGUAGGACAAUUGUAAUGCACGUUUUAUCUCCAUUAGGUGGAAAUAUGAUUAUAUGCACAGGUUUUUCUAACAAUUGGACCGAAUGUUUAUAUUCAAUCCCUCUCCAACAAUUUCAAUGAAAAUAAAAGCAUUUUCGAGUA